rnacentral:rRNA from 2 species
GCCCCGGAGCGGGGGAUAACAUUUGGAAACAGAUGCUAAUACCGCAUAACAACAAAAGCCACAUGGCUUUUGUUUGAAAGAUGGCUUUGGCUAUCACUCUGGGAUGGACCUGCGGUGCAUUAGCUAGUUGGUAAGGUAACGGCUUACCAAGGCGAUGAUGCAUAGCCGAGUUGAGAGACUGAUCGGCCACAAUGGAACUGAGACACGGUCCAUACUCCUACGGGAGGCAGCAGUAGGGAAUCUUCCACAAUGGGCGCAAGCCUGAUGGAGCAACACCGCGUGAGUGAAGAAGGGUUUCGGCUCGUAAAGCUCUGUUGUUGGAGAAGAACGUGCGUGAGAGUAACUGUUCACGCAGUGACGGUAUCCAACCAGAAAGUCACGGCUAACUACGUGCCAGCAGCCGCGGUAAUACGUAGGUGGCAAGCGUUAUCCGGAUUUAUUGGGCGUAAAGCGAGCGCAGGCGGUUGCUUAGGUCUGAUGUGAAAGCCUUCGGCUUAACCGAAGAAGUGCAUCGGAAACCGGGCGACUUGAGUGCAGAAGAGGACAGUGGAACUCCAUGUGUAGCGGUGGAAUGCGUAGAUAUAUGGAAGAACACCAGUGGCGAAGGCGGCUGUCUGGUCUGCAACUGACGCUGAGGCUCGAAAGCAUGGGUAGCGAACAGGAUUAGAUACCCUGGUAGUCCAUGCCGUAAACGAUGAGUGCUAGGUGUUGGAGGGUUUCCGCCCUUCAGUGCCGGAGCUAACGCAUUAAGCACUCCGCCUGGGGAGUACGACCGCAAGGUUGAAACUCAAAGGAAUUGACGGGGGCCCGCACAAGCGGUGGAGCAUGUGGUUUAAUUCGAAGCUACGCGAAGAACCUUACCAGGUCUUGACAUCUUGCGCUAACCUUAGAGAUAAGGCGUUCCCUUCGGGGACGCAAUGACAGGUGGUGCAUGGUCGUCGUCAGCUCGUGUCGUGAGAUGUUGGGUUAAGUCCCGCAACGAGCGCAACCCUUGUUACUAGUUGCCAGCAUUGAGUUGGGCACUCUAGUGAGACUGCCGGUGACAAACCGGAGGAAGGUGGGGACGACGUCAGAUCAUCAUGCCCCUUAUGACCUGGGCUACACACGUGCUACAAUGG